GACUUGGCUCGUUAUUGACUCCGAACGACUCGCGAAUUCGCACGGCGCCGAGUCAAACCGUUCCACGUGGUCGUUAUACCAAUUUUCCGACAUUUUUAAACAAAAUUUAAUUUUAAAAUUUUAAUUUUUAAAUUCGUUUCCGGCGCGUAAAAUAAGUGAUAAUCGUGGAAUCGGAGUGCAAACGGACAUUCAAAAACACGCCUGAAGCGUGGAAGUGCGUGAGACGUGUGAUCGAAACACGUGUGUGCUGCAACACGUUGGGAACACGCGGGUUUACACGUCGGUGUGGUCGCGUGCAAGCGUGCCGGAUUUAGUGUGGAACUUGGUUCGGUAGCUUUUUGGCGGAAUUCGCGAUUCAAGUUGUUCAGAAUUGGUUAUUUAUCCAGUUACAAAUACGUCUAUUUGAGUAAGAUAAUUCGUGACUUUUAAAUAUUUUCGUAACCAAUGCUCAUUGCAGAAAAAAACACACUUUGAUCUAAAAAAUUAAAUGUUAUGUUUUGCACCAAACUAUAGCAGUUGAGUAUAUGAGCGGGGUGGUUUUGUCAGUGGUAGAAAAACGUUGUGCGUAUCGAAUUGUUUACGAGAGGAUGAAUGGACCUAUAAAUUAAUAACUAUACUCGCGUGUUUAUUUUUAUUCGGUGUCAUAACGAUCGUUUCUCUUUUAAAGAGAAAAUAAUUGUUUCAAAUCGAUAUUUCCGCCUAGUUUUAUCGAAAAAGAAGCGUGGAUGCUUCUUAUCCAAGUAUAGUUUGAAUUUUAAAUUCGGGCUUUGCCGCGAAAAUAUAUUUUUUCAGUGAAAAAUUUGGAAAGUUUCAUUGGCUUAUUUGACGUUUCAUGGAGGUGGGAUUUCAGUUGUCACCUUCAUAAUCAUUGUCACAAGUGAAAAAGUCGAAUAUUUUCAUCACUUCGUUCCACGAUAUAUCUCACCGCAGCUGCACUAGGAAUAAAUGGUGGUCGGAGGCUAAGGCGGGGACGGAAUGAGGGCGAGUUGUGCUUGUGCCAGCUCAAAAGGCCUUUGCGGAUCUACCCCAGUCCGGGCGAUCAACAAGUUUUCUCCGACGAGAGUGCGCUGUUGACUUAGCGGCGUCACACACCCCCUCCACCCCCCUCCCCCCCCCCCCGCCAGCAGCGGAGAAAAGCGCGAAUAACAAGAUGGACAACGCAGGUUACGAGAAAGGGAACGACCAAGGUUGGACAACAGUCGAACUAACGGAAGUGAGGACGCAAUCGCACUGCCACAAGGCGGUUGCACCCGAGGCGGACUACCCCUUGCAGAGCGAGGCCAACAGCAAUGGGGCCAACCCCCCUUGCGUCAGCAAACAGUGCACCCCCAUGAGGCCCAGCCCCUGGCAUCCCCUGAAAACAAUUUUCCUCGUCGUUCUUCUGGCUCUCUUCCUAGUUUGGGUUAUUGUCUCGUAUUUCCUUCACAGGAAUUAUGAACUUUGAAAUUCCUCCUUCCUUGCAGAUGUUCAUCAUAAUGCUGACUUGUCGUGGAGGAACGUCGUAUAUGUGUCGCAGGCAAUUUGCAAGCAGUUCAACCGUUGUUGCCAUAAAUUGCAAUAAUGCGCAUCGGCAUGAUGCAAUUCUUAAGGGAUAUGGCCUUCAAAAGUAUGAGCUCGGCUUGAAGCGCCUUCAUUUUUUGUGAUACUCUACGCUUUGUCACGAUGUUAGUUUAGUUGCCUCUCCGAUCUCAAUCCAACUAAUGUCACGGAGUUCACUGCACGCUCUUCUGAGUGUGCACAUUUCUGCCAUGUUUUUAAGGAUGGAAAAGUGUCUAUCCACAUUAUAGGCAACAUAAUCAGCACUCUAAUCUUGUUCUUUUAUUUUUGAAUUUUAUGAUUUUCUAUAUUUAUUCACCACUGGCUUGUAACUUGCCGACGAUUGCCAAUUGUCUAUGACAUAUGUAUAUGAGGCGGGAGGCCUUAUCUGUAACAAUGGCGGAUGUAAAAAAUUACCUUUUCGAAACACGCUUAAAAAACUGUUUUGGUCACACAAAAAUGUAAUAUGUUUGCCUCUGGAGUAAUGUACAGAUCUCGAAGAUCACAUCACAAGUAUUUUCUCAAGAUUUUCUCAAUGCCGAAACAGUUUUUUGAGCGUGUUUCAAAAAGGUAAUUUUUCACAUCCGCCAUUGUUACAUGUAAAUCCUCAUACGUCGAAGGCAAUUAGUCAAAUCAGGCAUUUUAUCAAAUGCCUUGGCCGGUAGUUAAAUUUUAAAAGUUCACGAAAUUCUGUUUUGUGGUGCGGAAUUUACGAGUUUUCAAUAUUUUGGGGAAAAAUAACUCUUCGAAUCCUCGAACUCUCCUUGCUCCUUCCUUUUUACAUGCUUUAAGCACAUGUAAAUGUUAGAAUUUUAAAAAUUCCAUGUUUUAUGACGUGCUGAAAAUUUCAUAUGAAAUGUGCAUUUAGGAUCUUAAAAGCGUUUAAAAUACUAUUGGAUGAUGCAUAUUUUUUCAGAGAAUUCUUUCUUAAUGGAGCAACGUUAUUUUGUCUAAAAUUAUGGUAGGAAAUCAAUUGCCCAGACAUUUGACAAAAUGUCUGAUUUGACUAUGUGCCGUUGACAUAUAUGAAUGUUGUCAAAUUUUCCUAACAAAAUUUUAAUUUUUGAGGAAACUUAUGCAUAUUUUUCUUCGGAAUUUUCAGAUAUCUUAGGUUUAAUUGCUGUCUAAGCUAGAAACUUCAAGGGUUUUUCAAACCCACCGAAACUAUUGAUUUUUUAGUCGUGGGUAUUGUGACUAAAAAUACAUGUAUCUUUAAGAUGUAAAGCAUUUAAUUUGCCGAUUUUAUGUCAUUAUGUUAUGUAUAUAAUAUUGCUGAUGGAGAAAUAAUUUUAUAAUGUCCGAAAAGGUGAAAAAUGUUUUUGAGCAGUGUAAGGUUUUGCAAGUUCUUGGUCAAGAUUUUUAUUUUCAGUGCAUUUAAAAAGUCGUGCAACGAAUCAGAUAUUUCACCUUUCUUAUGUCAUUCCUGAAUCAAAAUCAUCAUUAUUUCACUGAUGGUUCAUAAUAAGAAGUUGAAAAUGUUCAAAUGAAUAUCAAUUCGGAACGGGGGCAAGGUCAGAUAAUCCAGUGUAGCAAGUGUGGUUUUUUUUGCAUAUUCCGCUGAUCAAAAUGAACGCAUUGACUACGUCUCCAGGUAUGUGAUGGAUUUUCUAACUUAAAAAUUUGGCUGCAAUUUAUUGGAAGCGUCCUUUAAGUUCCCAAACCAAUAGUUGUGCAAUUUUUGUCAUCAAGCGCUGUACAAUUUGAGUAAAUAGAUUUCAGCCGAUCAACUUAUCCACCCGAAAAAUAACACCGUUUAUGUUAUAGUUUGUAAGAUAUAUGUAAAUACAUUUUUAGAGAAACGCUCAUUUUAUUAUAAUUAUAUAUAUUCACCAUGCCGGAGAAACGACUCACCGGGGUGGAAAACGGAGCCCAGUGUCACCCAGCAAGAAUGCGAUAGUGGUGAAAUGUGUUACUUUCUACAUUAAUGAAGCCUUUAUGUUUCUGACAGAACAGAACAGUACAUUUAAAGCAGACUUCUGCGGUCGGGGGCGAGCGCAAAACCGCACUGCAGGUUUGCAUAGCUCGAAAGCAGCAUUUUGUUAGAAACCGUGCAUUAUCUCCGUUUUAAUGUGGAAGAUUUGUUGAUGUAGCUGGAUUAAAUUUUAGUUCCGGAUCAUGAAACUCUUGGAAUUUUUUCCACCAGCUCGCUUCUGUGAUACCCACCAUAAGGAA